rnacentral:rRNA from 1 species
UCGACUGUUGGGUUGUUGCUGGUCUGAAGUUCCCACUUCAGGCAUGUGCACGCCCCAGUGAUUCUCCAAAAUUCUUACACCCUUAUGUGCACCUCACACACGAAAAUCAGGCUGGGAUUGUGUUUUCUCUCUCCAAUGUGGGGAGGAAAGCGCGCGCGAAGGUCUGACUUUUUGUGUUUUUAGCUACACACUUUCAAGUACAUGAAUGUUCUUAUGGUUGUUGACUGUAGUUUGCUUCAUUGCAACGCAGACACAACAAAAUUUGAAAAAAAAAAAAAUACAACUUUCAGCAACGGAUCUCUUGGCUCUCGCAUCGAUGAAGAACGCAGCGAAAUGCGAUAAGUAAUGUGAAUUGCAGAAUCCAGUGAAUCAUCGAAUCUUUGAACGCACCUUGCGCUCCUUGGUAUUCCGAGGAGCAUGCCUGUUUGAGUGUCAUGGUAUUCUCAAUUCUCACCCCCCUUUUCCUGUCGUGGUCUCAAUGUGUUUGAGGCAUGCGGUGGGGUCUUUUGGGGGAGGGAGAUUGGACAUGGAGACAUGCUGGAAUUUCCGUAAUUUCGGCUUCUCUGAAAUGGAUCAGUGUGAACUUGUAGGUUGCACGUGACUCAGUGUGAUAGUUAUCUGCGCUGUGUGCGGGGCGAUCUGUCGCAUCAUUUUGUGAGGGUUCGUGCUUUCAAACCGUCUGCUUCAGUCAGACAACUUGGAGUGUUCUUGUGGACGCUCUUUGCAUUCUGACCUCAAAUCAGGUAGGACUACCCGCUGAACUUAAGCAUAUCAAUAAGCGGAGGAAAAGAAACUAGCAAGGAUUCCCCUAGUAACUGCGAGUGAAGCGGGAAAAGCUCAAAUUUAAAAUCUGGCGGCAUCUUGCUGUCCGAGUUGUAGUCUGGAGAAGCGUUUUCUGUGCUGGACCGUGUACAAGUCUCUUGGAAUAGAGCGUCAUAGAGGGUGAGAAUCCCGUCUUUGACACGGACUACCAGUGCUUUGUGAUGCGCUCUCAAAGAGUCGAGUUGUUUGGGAAUGCAGCUCAAAAUGGGUGGUAAAUUCCAUCUAAAGCUAAAUAUUGGCGAGAGACCGAUAGCGAACAAGUACCGUGAGGGAAAGAUGAAAAGCACUUUGGAAAGAGAGUUAAACAGUACGUGAAAUUGCUGAAAGGGAAACGCUUGAAGUCAGUCACGUUGGUCAGAACUCAGCCUGGCUCUUUUGCUUGGUGCACUUUCUGAUCAACGGGCCAGCAUCAAUUUUGAUCAUUGGAGAAAUUCUCUGGGAAUGUGGCUCUCUCGAGAGUGUUAUAGCCUGGGGUUGUAUACAGUGAUUGGGAUUGAGGAACUCAGCACGCCUUCAUGGUCGGGGUUCGCCCACGCUCGUGCUUAGGAUGCUGGCGUAAUGGCUUUAAACGACCCGUCUUGAAACACGGACCAAGGAGUCUAACAUGCCUGCGAGUGUUUGGGUGGAAAACCCGAGCGCGCAAUGAAAGUGAAAGUUGGGAUCUCUGUCGUGGAGAGCACCGACGCCCAUACCAGACCUUUUUGUGACGGCUAUGCGGUUGAGCAUGUAUGUUGGGACCCGAAAGAUGGUGAACUAUGCCUGAAUAGGGUGAAGCCAGAGGAAACUCUGGUGGAGGCUCGUAGCGAUUCUGACGUGCAAAUCGAUCGUCAAAUUUGGGUAUAGGGGCGAAAGACUAAUCGAACCAUCUAGUAGCUGGUUCCUGCCGAAGUUUCCCUCAGGAUAGCAGAAACUCAUUUCAGAUUUAUGUGGUAAAGCGAAUGAUUAGAGGCCUUGGGGUUGAAACAACCUUAACCUAUUCUCAAACUUUAAAUAUGUAAGAACGAGCCGUCACUUGAUUGGACCGCUCGGCGAUUGAGAGUUUCUAGUGGGCCAUUUUUGGUAAGCAGAACUGGCGAUGCGGGAUGAACCGAACGCGAGGUUAAGGUGCCGGAAUUUACGCUCAUCAGACACCACAAAAGGUGUAGUUCAUCUAGACAGCAGGACGGUGGCCAUGGAAGUCGGAAUCCGCUAAGGAGUGUGUAACAACUCACCUGCCGAGUGAACUAGCCC